GUCUGGCAUACAGAUGCCGUGUUUGUAAGUCCUGGUUGCUCAUCUCGCCCACUUGCACAGCCCACCUGUGUGGCCGACUCAGGAUUGACCCACCUGCUCUCUUCAGGCCAUAUUCCCACGCAGAAGUGGGUCCCACUCCUCAGGCCUCUGUGCUGGCCCUGUCUGUGGGGUUAGCAUGCAGCCCUGCUCUCCAUUUCCAGCUCAGAAGCAACUGGAUCGUUACCUCAUUGGUGACAACUUGACUGUGCUGCCCAGAGCUGAUAAGAAACAUCACCCGGGGAAGACCAGCUGCCUCUUCCUUGCUUCCUAAUCAGGGUGGAAAUACUGCUAAAUAUAUCACAACUCUUUGCAAGCA
rnacentral:lncRNA from 1 species